AGUGAACGCUGGCGGUAGGCCUAACACAUGCAAGUCGAACGGCAGCACAGUAAGAGCUUGCUCUUACGGGUGGCGAGUGGCGGACGGGGGAGGAAUACAUCGGAAUCUACUUUUUCGUGGGGGGUAACGUAGGGAAACUUACGCUAAUACCGCAUACGACCUACGGGUGAAAGCAGUGGAACUUCGGACCUGGCGCGAAUGAAUGAGCCGAUGUGGGAUUAGGUAGUUGGCGGGGUACAGGCCCACCAAGGCGACGAUCCGUAGCUGGUCUGAGAGGAUGAUCAGCCACACUGGAACUGAGACACGGUCCAGACUCCUACGGGAGGCAGCAGUGGGGAAUAUUGGACAGUGGGCGCAAACCUGGUCCAGCCAUACCGCGUGGGAGAAGAAGGCCUUCGGGUUGUAAAGCCCUUUUGUUGGGAAAGAAAAGCAGCAGGUUAAUACCCCGCUGUUCUGACGGUACCCAAAGAAUAAGCACCGGCUAACUUCGUG
rnacentral:rRNA from 1 species